AGCUAUAUAUUAAAGAGAUUUAUUUAUAUAAAUAGGUUUGCUAGCUGAUUGUGUAUAUACGCAGGCCAAUGCUUCUAAUUUCAUAGCAAGCUCGCUUGCUAUGAAAUAGGCAACCAGUAAUAUAAGCAAGUGUGUGCUAUUUAUAGCGCUAGCCUACAAACCUAUAAUUAUAUUAACUCUAAGAGAAAUUUAAUAAUAAACGAAGUGAAUUGAAAUAUCUUAGUAACUUUAGGAAAAGAAAUCAAAAGAGAUUCUAUGAUUAGCGUGAGCUAAAAUAGACUAGCCUAAAAAGUCAAAUGGUGGAUAAACUGUUUAAAUUAAAUGGGGAACCUUCCUCAAAGGCUAAAUAUAAUGUAUAAGCGAUAGUGGAAAGUACCGUGAGGGAACCAAAACAAAAACAGUGAUUUUAUAAGCAGUUCGGGAAAAUAAAAAAAAGUUAGAACGUACCUUUUGCAUAAUGGGUCACCAAGUUAACAUUAGAUGCGAGUAGGAGGCUUUGCCCAUACAUACGUAGUUAAACCGAGCGUUAAAAUAACGGUAAGUAUCUAAAGUUAGACCCGAAGCCUGGUGAUUUUACCAUAAUCAGGAUUAUAAAAGUCCGAACGGAAUAUUGUAGCAUAAAUAUCCGAAGAAUUAUGGUAGGUGUAGUGAAAGACAAUACUGACCAGGAUAGCUGGUUUUCUGCGAAACCUAUAACAGUAGGCAAUUUAAGUAUAAUAUCUUAGCAGGUACAGAAUUUAAUCUCAGACAAGACAUAAGGCUUAGCUUGCUAGCAAGUAAAGCUCAUGUUUUAUUUUGUACAAAUUGGGGGAUCAUGAAGAUUUUAUCAGUGAGUAUGUAGACUCGGAAUGGCAAAGAUAUAUCUUAAAUCAUCAGACAUAGAAUGAUAAGGUUGUAUGUCAAAAGGGAAACAGCCCAGAACAAGAGUUAAGGUUCCUAAAUUAUUAGUUGAGUGAAAUUAAGAAGGUUUUUAUUAAAGUCGACAAGGAGAUAGGCUUAGAAGCAGCCAUAAUUUUAUGACCUCGUAACAGAGCGCUUGUUAAGUUUUAAAAGCAUCGAAAAUUUAUCGGAUCUAAACAAUAUACCGAAACCUUGUCCAUAUUAUUUUAUAAUUAAAGCUUAAUUAUAAUUAAAUGGGGUAGCAGAACGUUGAGCUAAAUUAAGAUUUUUAUUUUUUAAAUGAAAUUAUAAUAAUUUAACUCAAGUGAUAAUGGUGACAUGAGUAACUAAAAGAAAAAAUAAAAUUUUUCCGCCUAAAGCUUAUGGAUGUAAUUAAGUAACGGCCUCUAAGUUUAUAUUAUCUAAAGAUUUAAACGAUGAGAUAAUCUUUUGUACUAAGGACGACAUUUUAAGUGAAAAAUGUACUGGAAAAAUAGUACUAAAUUAAUGGGUAUAGCUAAUUAGUUAGCUAUAGCUAUAAAUGAAAAGUAACCGUACCUAGAAUCUGAAACAAGUAAGCUAGUAGAGAAUACGAAGGCGUAAAUGAGCUAACAAUCAUAAAGGAACUCGGCAAAUUGACUACCGUAACUUCGGGAUAAGGAGAGCUCAUUAUUCUUGAUUAAUAUCAGGUAAAGAGGAAGAAGCAUGAAAUAGUGUUGUACGACUGUUUAAUUAAAACACAGCACUUUGCUGAAAGAUUAAAAAUCUAAGUAUAGAGUGUGAUGUCUGCCCGGUGCCGGCUGGUUAACAGAUAUAAUUAAAUAUACUAAUAUUUGAUGUAGACGGAAACCCCGGUUAAAGGCGGCCUUAACGUGAGGGUCCUAAGGUAGCGAAAUGCCUUGGCCGUUAAAUGCGGUCUUGCAUGAAUGAUGUAACGAUACAACAGCUGUCUCUAUGAUUGACUCAGUGAAAUUGGAAUAGCUGUGCAGAUACAGUUUACCUCUAGUUAGACGAGAAGACCCUAUGCAGCUUUACUGUCACUAAUUAUAGAGUAUGAUAAACAAUUUUCAGAUUAUAAGGUAAUUGACGGCUAGCUUGUUCAGCAAGCUAGCUCUAUGACAAUGAGAAUCCUUUAUUUUUUUUUCAUAUGAAUGAAUUGGUUUAGGAUUAUGAGUAGGUAGCGGCUUCUGCUACUUGGCGUAAGCAUUGCUUGCGUCAGGUGUCUGAAGUAUGCAUUCCAGCUCAUGCAUAGUAAAUCAACCUAAUUCAGCUUAUUUUCCUUUCUGCCAUAAGCGCAUAAUGAUAGAUUUAACUUAAAUUUUGAUUUAUGCCAGCUGCAGAAAUAGAUAAGUACCCUUGGCUAAGGAACUAUCGCUAGGGGACAGUUUAUGUGGGGCACAGACCCUGUAAAGAGUAAACAGGAGUGUCUAAUAAUUUAUAAUUAUUUUGUUUGCGAUUUAAGAUAGUGAAACUAUUUUUAAUCAUAUAAAAUUAUUUAUAUGUACAUUCGUUGUAUAUAUAUUUAAAAAAAGGUAGGAUUUUCACUAUAUAGAAAUUAGAGAUAAUAAAAAUAUUAAGAAUAUACGUUUCAGGCUGGGAGGGGGAAGCUCCUCCCUUUGAAAGGUAGCACUAAUAUUUUUUAGCUAUUAAGACAGGCUAUCAAGCUAGGCUCUAAUAGUUAUGUAUUAAUUAUCUAAAAAGCUCAACGGCUAAAUCUUGCCUUACUGUUUGAUUAUCAACAAAUCUUACAGUUGCGUAAGCAGGGCAUAGGAUCACAAGAUGCAACAAGGAAAGAUCUUGGAUUAUUGGAAAAGCUACGCUAGGGAUAACAGGCUAAUUUGCGCAAGAGUGUACAAAAUGAGUGCGCGGUUUGGCACCUCGAUGUCGGCUUAACUUAUCCUCAUGGAUGCAGGAACUAUGUAGGGUGCGACUGUUCGUCGAUUAAAAAGUUACAUGAGCUGGGUUAAAUACGUCGUGAGACAGUAUGGUUUCUAUCUUCUAGGGGGAAUUAGAAUAUAAUAAGAACUAACUUUUGUACGAAAGGAACAAGAAGAAUUUAAUUUGUAAAAGGGUUAAAUAAUAGUUACUAACCUAUGGUUUACCUGUUGUCUAUGUGCCCAAAUAUUAAAAUAUAUAUGGAGGAAGCUCCUUAAGAGCUUCCCCCGCAAAUUAUAUAUAUCUGUAUAGCUAGCCUGCGGACUCCGGUUAUGCCUGAGUUUGGCAAGCUAAAGCUAUACAUAGGGAUGUUUCUUUCACUAAGAUAAAUAUAUAGCAUAGGCACGGCAGGAAAGCUAAGUUGGUUAAGGAUAAGUGCUGAAAGCAUAUAGGCACGAAGCUUAUCUUAAGAUAUUUCUUAAAUAUACGUAAAAUAUUAUUACGAAGGAUGUAAUAUAGGCUUUAUCCGUACGAAUCAGGAGAUUUUUAAGAAUAAAGUACUAAUUUUAUAAAUAACUAUUUAU
rnacentral:rRNA from 7 species